GGUUAAGCGACUAAGCGUACACGGUGGAUGCCCUGGCAGUCAGAGGCGAUGAAGGACGUGCUAAUCUGCGAAAAGCGUCGGUAAGGUGAUAUGAACCGUUAUAGCCGGCGAUGUCCGAAUGGGGAAACCCAGUGCAAUUCGUUGCACUAUCGUUAACUGAAUACAUAGGUUAACGAGGCGAACCGGGGGAACUGAAACAUCUAAGUACCCCGAGGAAAAGAAAUCAACCGAGAUUCCCCCAGUAGCGGCGAGCGAACGGGGAGCAGCCCAGAGUCUGAAUCAGCUUGUGUGUUAGUGGAACGGUCUGGAAAGUCCGACGGUACAGGGUGAUAGUCCCGUACACCAAAAUGCACAGGCUGUGAACUCGAAGAGUAGGGCGGGACACGUGGUAUCCUGUCUGAAUAUGGGGGGACCAUCCUCCAAGGCUAAAUACUCCUGACUGACCGAUAGUGAACCAGUACCGUGAGGGAAAGGCGAAAAGAACCCCGGCGAGGGGAGUGAAAAAGAACCUGAAACCGUGUACGUACAAGCAGUGGGAGCACCUUCGGGUGUGACUGCGUACCUUUUGUAUAAUGGGUCAGCGACUUAUAUUCUGUAGCAAGGUUAACCGUAUAGGGGAGCCGCAGGGAAACCGAGUCUUAACUGGGCGUUAAGUUGCAGGGUAUAGACCCGAAACCCGGUGAUCUAGCCAUGGGCAGGUUGAAGGUUGGGUAACACUAACUGGAGGACCGAACCGACUAAUGUUGAAAAAUUAGCGGAUGACUUGUGGCUGGGGGUGAAAGGCCAAUCAAACCGGGAGAUAGCUGGUUCUCCCCGAAAGCUAUUUAGGUAGCGCCUCGUGAACUCAUCUUCGGGGGUAGAGCACUGUUUCGGCUAGGGGGUCAUCCCGACUUACCAACCCGAUGCAAACUACGAAUACCGAAGAAUGUUAUCACGGGAGACACACGGCGGGUGCUAACGUCCGUCGUGAAGAGGGAAACAACCCAGACCGCCAGCUAAGGUCCCAAAGUCAUGGUUAAGUGGGAAACGAUGUGGGAAGGCACAGACAGCCAGGAUGUUGGCUUAGAAGCAGCCAUCAUUUAAAGAAAGCGUAAUAGCUCACUGGUCGAGUCGGCCUGCGCGGAAGAUGUAACGGGGCUAAACCAUGCACCGAAGCUGCGGCAGCGACACUAUGUGUUGUUGGGUAGGGGAGCGUUCUGUAAGCCUGCGAAGGUGACCUGUGAGGGUUGCUGGAGGUAUCAGAAGUGCGAAUGCUGACAUAAGUAACGAUAAAGCGGGUGAAAAGCCCGCUCGCCGGAAGACCAAGGGUUCCUGUCCAACGUUAAUCGGGGCAGGGUGAGUCGACCCCUAAGGCGAGGCCGAAAGGCGUAGUCGAUGGGAAACAGGUUAAUAUUCCUGUACUUGGUGUUACUGCGAAGGGGGGACGGAGAAGGCUAUGUUAGCCGGGCGACGGUUGUCCCGGUUUAAGCAUGUAGGCUGGUUAUCCAGGCAAAUCCGGAUAAUCAAGGCUGAGGUGUGAUGACGAGGCACUACGGUGCUGAAGUAACAAAUGCCCUGCUUCCAGGAAAAGCCUCUAAGCAUCAGGUAACAUCAAAUCGUACCCCAAACCGACACAGGUGGUCAGGUAGAGAAUACCAAGGCGCUUGAGAGAACUCGGGUGAAGGAACUAGGCAAAAUGGUGCCGUAACUUCGGGAGAAGGCACGCUGGUGUGUAGGUGAAGCCCCUGCGGGUGGAGCUGAGACCAGUCGAAGAUACCAGCUGGCUGCAACUGUUUAUUAAAAACACAGCACUGUGCAAACACGAAAGUGGACGUAUACGGUGUGACGCCUGCCCGGUGCCGGAAGGUUAAUUGAUGGGGUUAUCCGUAAGGAGAAGCUCUUGAUCGAAGCCCCGGUAAACGGCGGCCGUAACUAUAACGGUCCUAAGGUAGCGAAAUUCCUUGUCGGGUAAGUUCCGACCUGCACGAAUGGCGUAAUGAUGGCCAGGCUGUCUCCACCCGAGACUCAGUGAAAUUGAACUCGCUGUGAAGAUGCAGUGUACCCGCGGCAAGACGGAAAGACCCCGUGAACCUUUACUAUAGCUUGACACUGAACAUUGAGCCUUGAUGUGUAGGAUAGGUGGGAGGCUUUGAAGCGUGGACGCCAGUCUGCGUGGAGCCAACCUUGAAAUACCACCCUUUAAUGUUUGAUGUUCUAACGUUGGCCCCUGACCGGGGUUGCGGACAGUGUCUGGUGGGUAGUUUGACUGGGGCGGUCUCCUCCCAAAGCGUAACGGAGGAGCACGAAGGUUAGCUAAUCCUGGUCGGACAUCAGGAGGUUAGUGCAAUGGCAUAAGCUAGCUUGACUGCGAGCGUGACGGCGCGAGCAGGUGCGAAAGCAGGUCAUAGUGAUCCGGUGGUUCUGAAUGGAAGGGCCAUCGCUCAACGGAUAAAAGGUACUCCGGGGAUAACAGGCUGAUACCGCCCAAGAGUUCAUAUCGACGGCGGUGUUUGGCACCUCGAUGUCGGCUCAUCACAUCCUGGGGCUGAAGUAGGUCCCAAGGGUAUGGCUGUUCGCCAUUUAAAGUGGUACGCGAGCUGGGUUUAGAACGUCGUGAGACAGUUCGGUCCCUAUCUGCCGUGGGCGCUGGAGAAUUGAGGGGGGCUGCUCCUAGUACGAGAGGACCGGAGUGGACGCAUCACUGGUGUUCGGGUUGUCAUGCCAAUGGCACUGCCCGGUAGCUAAAUGCGGAAGAGAUAAGUGCUGAAAGCAUCUAAGCACGAAACUUGCCCCGAGAUGAGUUCUCCCUGAGACUUUAAGUCUCCUGAAGGAACGUUAAAGACGAUGACGUUGAUAGGCCGGGUGUGUAAGCGCAGCGAUGCGUUGAGCUAACCGGUACUAAUGAACCGUGAGGCUUAACCUU
rnacentral:rRNA from 1 species